rnacentral:rRNA from 1 species
GGCGGACGGCACAGUAACACGUGGAUAACUUAUCCUUUGGACCGGGAUAACCCCUGGGAAACUGGGGCUAAUACCGGAUAGAGCAUUGAUAGCUGGAAUGCGCGGUGCUCGAAAGCUGAGGCGCCGAAGGUAGUCUGCGGCCGAUUAGGUUGUUGUUGAUGUAAUGGAUCAACAAGCCACUGAUCGGUAUGGGUUGUGAGAGCAAUAUCCCAGAGAUGGGUUCUGAGAAAAGAACCCAGGUCCUACGGGACGCAUCAGGCGCGAAAACUUUACAAUGUGCGAAAGCACGAUAAGGGAACUCUGAGUGCCUCCAAAGGAGGCUGUUCAGGUGUUUAAAAAGCAUCUGAAGGAAGGGCUGGGCAAGACUGGUGCCAGCCGCCGCGGUAACACCAGCAGCCCAAGUGGUGGCCACUUUUACUGGGUCUAAAGCGUUCGUAGCCGGCUAAGUAAGUUCUUUGGGAAAUUUGGUCGCUUAACGAUCAAGCUUCCAAAGGAUACUGCUUAGCUUGGGACCGGAAGAGGUCAGAGGUACUUCAAGGGUAGGGGUGAAAUCCGUUAAUCCUUGUGGGACCGCCAGUAGCGAAGGCGUCUGACCAGACCGGAUCCGACGGUGAUGGACGAAGGCUAGGUAGCGAACCGGAUUAGAUACCCGGGUAGUCCUAGCUGUAAACGAUGCGGGCUAUGUGUUGGCAUUACUGCGAGUAAUGCCAGUGUCGAAGGGAAGCCGUUAAGCCCGCCAUCUGGGGAGUACGGUCGCAAGGCUGAAACUUAAAGGAAUUGGCGGGGGACACUACAACGGGUGGAGCUUGCGGUUCAAUUGGAUUCAACGCCGGAAAACUCACCGGA